rnacentral:rRNA from 1 species
AGAGUUUGAUCCUGGCUCAGGAUGAACGCUGGCGGCGUGCUUAACACAUGCAAGUCGAACGAAGCACUACCGACGGAACUUUUCGGAGGGAAGAUGGUAAUGACUGAGUGGCGGACGGGUGAGUAACGCGUGGGCAACCUGCCCCAUAGAGGGGGACAACAGCUGGAAACGGCUGCUAAUACCGCAUAACAAGGAGAGAGCGCAUGUUCUUUUCUUCAAAGAUUUAUCGCUAUGGGAUGGACCCGCGUCUGAUUAGCUGGUUGGUGAGGUAACGGCUCACCAAGGCGACGAUCAGUAGCCGGCUUGAGAGAGUGGACGGCCACAUUGGGACUGAGACACGGCCCAGACUCCUACGGGAGGCAGCAGUGGGGAAUAUUGCACAAUGGGGGAAACCCUGAUGCAGCGACGCCGCGUGAGUGAAGAAGUAUUUCGGUAUGUAAAGCUCUAUCAGCAGGGAAGAUAAUGACGGUACCUGACUAAGAAGCCCCGGCUAACUACGUGCCAGCAGCCGCGGUAAUACGUAGGGGGCAAG